rnacentral:rRNA from 1 species
UUAGUAUACUGGCGGACGGGUGAGUAACGCGUAGGGCACCUGCCUUUGUGUCUGGUAUAACAUCGAGAAAUUGGUGCUAAUAGCGGAUAAUAUCUUGUAUACACCUGUAUAUGGGAUCAAAGGUGCUUUUGUAUCGCAUAGAGAUGGGCCUGCGUUCCAUUAGCUGGUUGGUAAGGUAACGGCUUACCAAUGCGACGAUGGAUAGCUGAUCUGAGAGGGUGAUCAGCCACACUGGGACUGAGAUACGGCCCAGACUCCUACGGGAGGCAGCAGUGAGGAAUAUUGCGCAAUGGAGGCAACUCUGACGCAGCAACGCCGCGUGGGGGAUGACGCACUAUGGUGUGUAAACCCCUGUAGAUAGGGACGAACGGCACAGGUUCGUAAGGGUUUGUGUGUGACGGUACCUAUAAAGUAAGCACCGGCUAAACUCCGUGCCAGCAGCCGCGGUAAUACGGGGGGUGCGAGCGUUGUCCGGAAUUACUGGGCGUAAAGGGCGUGUAGGCGGUGCAGCAAGUCAGAUGUGACAGGCCUCGGCUUAACCGGGGAACGGCAUUUGAAACUGUUGUGCUUGAGUGCGAGAGGGGGUAGUGGAAUUCCCAGUGUAGCGGUGAAAUGCGUAGAUAUUGGGAAGAACACCAGUAGCGAAGGCGGCUACCUGGCUCGCAACUGACGCUAAGGCGCGAAAGCGUGGGGAGCAAACAGGAUUAGAUUACCCUGGUAGUCCACGCUGUAAACGAUGGGUACUAGCUUUUGUUUGGUCAUAGACUAAUCAGUGCCGGAGCGAACGCAUUAAGUACCCCGCCUGGGGAGUACGAUCGCAAGGUUGAAACUCAAAGGAAUUGACGGGGGCCCGCACAAGCGGUGGAGCAUGUGGUUUAAUUCGAUGCAACGCGAAGAACCUUACCGGGGUUUGACAUGUCAAUGGCGCUUAUAGAGAUAUAAGUUUCCUUCGGGACGUUGACACAGGUGCUGCAUGGCUGUCGUCAGCUCGUGUCGUGAGAUGUUGGGUUAAGUCCCGCAACGAGCGCAACCCUUGUCCCUAGUUGCCAGCGAGUCAUGUCGGGGACUCUAGGGAGACUGCUGGUGAUAAACCAGAGGAAGGUGGGGAUGACGUCAAGUCAUCAUGGCCCUUACAUCCCGGGCUACACACGUGCUACAAUGGUCGGUACAACGAGUCGCGAAGUCGUGAGUCUAAGCUAAUCUCUAAAAACCGAUCUCAGUUCGGAUUGCAGUCUGCAACUCGACUGCAUGAAGUCGGAA